UGCUGGCACUUCUUGGCUCAUUUAGACAUUUGUGCUGCUGAACUAAAAUGCUGAGCAGCUGUAUGCUAUUAGAAAAGCUGGUCGUUCAGCACAACAACUGACAUGUUCUCUUGGCUUCCUGUCCUGAAUAGGGUACACACUGUUAUCUGACUCCCAGAUCUGAGCUCCAGCUUCUGAGCUGUUUUAGUGAUAUCCUUGGCACUCUGUGGUCCUACUUCAGUAUGUUGGAAGAACUGAUACGGCCAAGGCGUAGGGGAGGUCCUACAUCCAGGACAGAUGUAUGGGAGAGGCCGGCCCAGCAUUUCUUUUCAGUGUAUUGGUUCAUGAUGUUACUGACUGCAU